GUUUCAGGCAGUGUGGAACCUGCGGGCGCCUAAGUCACCACGUCACUCCUAAAAGGUUUUGUGAGUCCAUUCUUUUAAAAAACACACCUCAUUUUGUCACCCCCCGCAGUGAUGACAUCUGAGGCGCACUGAAGCCCCCGCACCCCCUUCCUCCGCCACUGGGCACGGAGGGCUGUGGUGGGGAAGGGGGUCAGGAAAAAAUGGGGGACCGGCCUUGUGUAAAGGGGAGAAUCCAUACAUCUCAUACACAAUUACAUUUGGAUACCAUCUAUAGAAUUUUCCUUGGUUGUGUAAGAACACAGAGGUGAAGGGGAUCAUGUUUGAAAAGAACCAUUUUUUAAAAAAGAAUCUAAACAUUGUCAGGGAUCUAAGAAAAAUUAUCAGUGCCGUUUUUUGAGUGGAUGAUAUGUAUUCAGCUGAGCUUUGUUGAACUUAUUGAAUUUACUUUACUCCCCCCCCCCCCACGGUCAUGAACUCUUAAAACCCACUCCAACCUUUGCAGGUGUUUAACUGAGCAAGAUGCAAUGAGAGAAUGCUUUAGAUACUUGGAAGGUUUGUGGGCUACAUUGUGUAAUGCAUCCCUCAGUCACUCCAGUCUAGUGAGUCAUGUGCCAUACAGAUAAUAACAGGAAGCUGUGCAUGUGCAUUUCAACAAACCAACGUAGCCUUCACUGUAUCAUUUCCUUGUUUGUGGAAGGUUCUCCUUGGGAUGGUGCAAGUGUCUCCCUCACCAUUAACAUUCAGGAAUGCUCUGCAGCAUUCCUGUUCGCUCAGGUAUUUGAUGCUUGAAAUACAUUGUUCCUGGAAACUUUGAAAGUGUUGUUGUUGUUGUUGUUUAGUCGUUUAGUCGUGUCCGACUCUUCGUGACCCCAUGGACCAGAGCACGCCAGGCACUCCUGUCUUCCACUGCCUCCCGCAGUUUGAUCAAACUCAUGCCGGUAGCUUCAAGAACACCAUCCAACCAUCUCAUUCUCUGUCGUCCCCUUCUCCUUGCGCCCUCUAUCUUUCCCAACAUCAGGGUCUUUUCCAGGGAGUCUUCUCUUCUCAUGAGGUGGCCAAAGUAUUGGAUCCUCAGCUGCAGGAUCUGUCCUUCCAGUGAGCACUCAGGGCUGAUUUCCUUAAGAAUGGAGAGGUUUGAUCUUCUUGCAGUCCAUGGGACUCUCAAGAGUCUCCUCCAGCACCAUAAUUCAAAAUUGAAAGUGUUAGCAGUGGGGAUAUGCAGCCGUUUUAAAAGUAUGUGCUAGUAUUUUGCUAUUUAAUGUUUAUUUAAUGUUUUCGUUGUAAAUAUGUUUCUCUUUUAUGUUUUAACUUAGUGAACGUGCCUAGGUGAAGUCUUACCCAACUGAUCUGGGAAUAAAAAUACAGUGGUACCUCAGAAGUCGAACGGAAUCCAUUCAACUUCCAAAAUGAUCGGAAACCAAGAUGCGGCUUCCGAUUGGCUGCAGGAAGCUCCCUGCAGCCAAUCGGAAGCCACGGAAGCCACGUUGGACGUUUGGGUUCCAAAGAAUGUUUGCAAACUGGAACACUCACUUCCAGGUUUGCAGCGUUUGGGAGCCAAAACGUUGGACACGCAAGGUGUUUGGGAUCCAAGGUAUGACUGUACUAGAAUCAUAGAACUGUAAAGUCAUCUGGUCCAGUGUUUCCCAACCCUGGGUCUUCAGCUGUUUUCAGACUCCAGUUCCCAUCAUCCCCGACCACUGGUCUUGCUAGCGAGGGAUGAUUGGAGUUGUAGUUCAAAAACAGCUGGAGACCCAAGGCUGGGAAUCACCGCACUAGUCCAACUCUCACAAUGCAGGAAUCUUCUGCCCAAUGUGACCCUGAGAUUAUGAGUACCAGGCUCUACCAACUGAGCUAUCCCAACAAUCCAUUGAGAUCAGUGGUAUAAGCAAAUAUGAUUAGGACUAGGCAUAGACAUGGGUGGCACUGUGGGUUAAACCACAGAGCCUAGGACUUGCCAAUCAGAAGGUCAGUGGUUCGAAUCCCCAUGACGGGGUGAGCUCCCGUUGCUCGGUCCAGCUGCUGCCCACCUAGCAGUUUGAAAGUAUGUCAAGUGCAAGUAGAUAAAUAGGUACUGCUCCGGCAGGAUGGUAAACGGCGUUUCCGUGCGCUGGUCUGGUUCUCCAGAAGUAGCUUAGUCAUGCUGGCCACAUGACCCGGAAGCUGUAUGCCGACUCCCUCGGCUAAUAAAGCGAGAUGAGCGCCGCAACCCCAGAGUCGGCCACGACUGGACCUAAUGGUCAGGGGUCCCUUUAACUUUACUUACAGACCAAUUCAGUUAGUGGUAGGCUACUGAAAAUGGUUCGUAGAUUGUUGCCUCUGUGCACACACAUGCAUACUAUUUUCUCUGUAUGAUAAUCAGAGAGCCGCUGAAAUUUUCUGAGCAAAACAUUUUGUCACUGAACUGUAAUUCACCAUAUAUUUAUUUUUGUGGGGAUGAAAAUUGUAAUUAAACCCGGUGGCAUUUCAGCUUUCGGAACGGGACUGAUAACACCUAGGUUAAUCAGAUUUGAAUGUGAAGUCCCAUCCGGAGAAUUGAAAAGAGGCGAUUUGCAAAUGAUUUGCAUCUAAAAGCAACUGUUUCCUAGAUACCAUUAAAGCAGACACUUCAGGAAAUAGGAUUUGUUAGACAUGUUAAGUGAAUUAUAGCCUCAAAAUAACAAAUUGACAUUUUACAGUGUAAAUCAAGAUUUCUCGUGUAAUUAGCUCACAAUUCAUCAUGCUUGUUCUCUGUGUUAUCCCAAUGAAUUGGGACCCUGAUAUUUGAUUCAUAGCUACCAAAGGCAAUGAGAACCCCCCCUUUAAUUCUACCCAGGAAUAAGUCAUUGUGCAAAUAUUUGUGGGAGCGAGAAUUCUAUGUCCAAAGAUUUCUGCUCUGUAUAAAUCAAUGAAAGCCUACAAGGAGGAGAAAAAGACAAUUGUGUCACCCUGUAACAACUUCUCAUUAUAAACUCAGACAGAAGGCAGUUUCAGUCCUGUGGCCAGACUGAAGUGAACUGGAUUUUACCCAGAAUGUGGGCAACUGAGUUGAGUGGAACUUCAUUAUUGGUACUGGAGAAAAUAUUGAGUUGAGGAGUGAGGAAAAAGCUGUGAGUAAAUUUAAUGUUUUAAGUGCAAGAAAGAAAAGAGGUGACACCUUGAAAUUCACAAAUGUGGGCUGUCACCCCUUCUCCCCCGGGAUUUUUGCACAUUUGGGAUGGAGAGCAAGUUUGUUUAUUUACUUUGUACUGGGAUGUCUACCCUGCAUCCCAGUCAAAGCCCUGGAGCUACAAUUAUGCAUACACUAGAUCUACUUUAUUAUUAAUCCACAGGGAAUUUCAUCCUAUGCGGAGGACUUAGGUAGCUUCCAAAGUUGCCCAGUCAUUUUAAUUUGAUGACACGGACAAUAUUCAAAGCACCUUAUAGUUUCCAUAAUGUACGGUAAAGCACAAGAUCAAAAAUCUCAGUUAAAACAAAACACCAUUGAGCACUGAAAUUCUCUCUCUCUCUCUAUAUAUAUAUAAAUAGUCAACAAAAUUAAUACAGGAUAAGGAACAGGAACCAUUAAACAAGAAUCAACCAACAGUUUGAAAAAAUAGCUGUGACUCAGCACAUCACAAGAAGUUCUCAUGUGACUCAGCACAUCACAAUAAGUUGCGGCUUUACCAAAACUGAGUUUAAGGUUUGAUCAUUCACACACACACACACACACCCCGCCACCCUCUUUUCUCAUCUUUGGAAGGUUAUUCAAUUUACAUAUAGAUGAGUUUUAAGCCAUUAGCAGGACUUUUUGUAUCAUGCAAACAUCAUUUAAAAUGCUAAUCUUUGGGAAAGUGGCAGAGAAGCACACCCUUUUAGAUCUCUCUCUGAUGGUAGGUAUGUCACGUAGAAGCAAAAUAUUUUGUGAGUGCUUGCUUUUAAAUGAUUUUAAGGAAGGAAAGCUGUAAGAUACCUGGAGGAACAUAUGCACAGAAUGCAAUGAAACAUUUCCACUUGUGUUUAUUGUGGGUGAAACUUACAACAAGCCAAAGCUUGUGACACAUUUUGCAGAUGGCAAACAUAUUCCUACAGCAGCUAGAAAAGACUUUCCUAUCCCCAAAUUUCAUUAGUACUACUACUACUACUACUACUACUACAUCAUUACUAUUUACUUACCCUUCACCAAAAGGUCCCAGGUGGGCUAGGAAAAAAGAAAGCAACUAUGUCAAAAAUCAUAAUAAACCUAGCAUUAAAACAAGAGUCAUUAAAACCAUAGACCAGCAGUUGCCAGCCUUUUUGGACAAAUGGGCACAUUUCAAAUUUUGAGGGAGUGCUGUGGGCACCAGUCACAAGAUAGUUGCCAUGACAGCAUGGCAUAAUACAAAAUGGCUGCCAUGCGGGGCAAGGCAUAACAUAAAAUUGGAGGAAGCACAGCUAUAGUGAUGCUUUUCUCUUAGUUGUAGAUCCACACAAGAAAAGGCUUAACCUAUCAAAUUUCUGCCUGCCAUACAGCAGUUAAAGGCACAAGACAUACCCGCCAACAUUUCUCUGAUGAAAAUAGGGACGUCCCAUUCCAUAAUGAUAAUUUUACUAUUUAUACCCCACCCAUCUUACUGGGUUGCCCCAGCCACUCUGAGCAGCUUCCAACAUAUAUAAAAACAUAAUAAAACAUUUUUAAAAAACCUUCACUAUGCAGGAUUGCCUUCAGACGGCUCAGGGAUCAGAUAACACCACACCCUCCAACAUUUCUCCAAUGAAAAUAGGGACAUCCUAAGGAAAAGCAGGUCAUUCCAGGAUCAAAUCAGAAACUGGGGCAGCUUCUCUAAAUCAGGAACAUCCCUGGAAAAUAGGGACACUUGGAGAGUCUUCAAAAGAUCCCUGUUUUCCUCCAAUGCCAACUCUAAAUCAAAGCCUUGGCUGCUAUCCUGUCACCACAUCUGGGAGGAAGCUUCAUUAAACACAAAGAGACUUACUUCUGAGUAGAUAUCUAUACCACUGUACUGCAAGCUAACUGUGCAGUGAAUUCUUAACCUAGUUUUUAGCUCCUGCAGAAGACAUGGCUAAGCUACCCAAUACAACUUUUAUGGUUUUCUAAGGAGCAAUGGAAGUUCCUGAGCAGCUGAAUGUUUUAACUAGCUAAUUCCAAAUUCUGCAGUUCCAGCUUUUAAAACCUUACAUGGGGAGGUUAUCACUCAAGAAGGAAAUUGAGGGAAAGAUGAGUGCUGUGCAAAUGCUUUGACAGACAGUUCAGCAAGUGUGGGUUAAACCACAGAGCCUAGGACUUGCCAAUCAGAAGGUUGGCGGUUCGAAUCUCCGCGACAGGGUGAGCUCCCGUUGCUCGGUCCCUGCUCCUGCCAACCCAGCAGUUCGAAAGCACGUCAAAGUGCAAGUAGAUAAAUAGGUACCGCUCCGAUGGGAAGGUAAACGGUGUUUCCGUGUGCUGCUCUGGUUUGCCAGAAGCGGCUUAGUCAUGCUAGCCACAUGACCCGGAAGCUGUACGCUGGCUCCCUCGGCCAAUAAAGCAAGAUGAGCACUGCAACCCCAGAGUUGGCCAUGACUGGACCUAAUGGUCAGGGGUCCCUUUACCUUUACCUUUAAGGAGCAAUGGAAGUUCUUGAGCAGCUGUAUGUUUUAACUAGCUAAUUCCAAAUUCUGCAAUUCCAGCUUUUAAAACCUUAUGUGGGGAGGUUAUCAUUCAAGAAGGAAAUUGAGGGAAAGAUGAGUGCUAUGCAAAUGCUUUGACAGACAGUUCAGCAAGUCCAACCUGCCUGGAGGCUGCUCUCAGAGGCUUGUGAAGCUCCCAGAAGAUGAGACCAGUGAAUCUGUUACAUGCAAAUAUAUCUGCAGUUAACUGUGUUUUUCACUGGGUGGCCUGUGCUGUAGCAAGCGGAUAGGGGCCACCAUAUGUCCGGAUUUCCCUGGACAUUACUGAGAUUUCAAAGGCAGAAUUGAUGUCCAGGGAAGGGAUUUCUGAAAGGCAGCACUUUUUCCGCCCCACAACUUUGGAGUUUGGUCUUAAAAAAUCUCAACAACAAAUUAGAGAAAUUGGAAAUCAUUUAUUGAAUACAGUCGUACCUUGAUUUUCAAACAGAAUGCAUUUCGGAAGUCUGUUUGACUUCCAAAACGUUUGGAAACCAAGGCUUCUGAUUGGCUUCUGAUUGUGCCGCAUGCCAGAAAUAAUAGCGGAAGCCACAUUGGACGUUCAGCUUCCAAAAAAAGUUCAAAAACCGGAACACUCACUUCCGGGUUUCGAUCGAUCGAAAUGUACAAGUACCAAAGCAUUUGACAACCAAGUUAUGACUGUACAGUGGUACCUUGGGUUAAGUACUUAAUUCGUUCCGGAGGUCCGUUCUUAACCUGAAACUGUUCUUAACCUGAAGCACCACUUUAGCUAAUGGGGCCUCCUGCUGCCGCCGCGCCGGAGCACAAUUUCUGUUCUCAUCCUGAAGCAAAGUUCUUAACCUGAAGCACUAUUUCUGGGUUAGCGGAGUCUGUAACCUGAAGUGUAUGUAACCUGAAGCGUAUGUAACCCGAGGUACCACUGUAUAUGGGGGGAAAUUGUGUACACCUGAAAACGUUGGCAGCAUUAAGAUAAAUUCAAUAGUGUAAAUAAGUUUUGAUGGAUGUAAUAAAGGAAUACUAAAUUGUUUAGUUCUUGUAAAAUAUGCAGGGAUUUAUGAUAUGCAAAACAAACCAUGGAAAGAGAAGAAGGGAAGUCAUUGAUAUUUUAAGGAUUUUUAAAUGAGUAUUAUAAAUUGUAAAACAGAAAAUUUAAUAUUAAAAAAAAGCUCAACAGCUUUCGGGGAGUUCUGAAAUACAGCGACCCUACAGGAGGAGGACAUCAGAAGAUAGAUAUGAACAUGAACUGAGAUCCAUACAAAUGCAGUUAGCAGCUGGUGAGCUCAUUGCCAAUGUGUUGGUGUUGUCUGACAAAAUCAGAUUGAAGGAGAUUUUCAGCCACUGUUCCAUCAAGGGCUCUUGGAGCUUUAUCAGAAAGGAUGCAUGGCUGCUUACUAUUCCCAAAGGUGCUUAAUAUUCAGCUGUGGUACUGACGGGAAUCAACUGGGCAUGCUGAAAAAGAAUAGGGGCACCUCACCAUUCUGCAUUGUACAGUUCGCUGUCAUUCCCUGUGGGAAUCUAUGUACCUACUCACUUUUUAUGGACUGUAAUUCCUAUAGUCCAGUCAGUCUCUAACUGCCAAGAACAAGAAUUGUGAUGCCACCCGUCACCGUAAUGCAGUGGUUUUCUGAAAUAGAGAGCAGGGGAAGCAGGGAGACUAGGAAUCUGGAAUGUGACUGGGAGGCAGCAAAGAGGAGGAGGAGAACUGAAGGAAAGAUGGCUGCUGGGGAGAGAGAAAGAGAGAUGCAGGAAUAUAAUGGGCUGCAAAUUUGUUAUGUACUGAGUUGAAUAGGAUUCAGAAUGCAGCAGUCUGAUUGGUCCUAGAACAAUAGGAUUCAGAAUGCAGCAGUCUGAUUGGUCCUAGAACAAUAGGAUCCAGAAUGUAGCAGUCUGAUUACUCCACAGGAGCCACCCAAUCCAGCUCCAGGUGGAAGUGAAACCGCAACCUGAUUGGCCUACAGGAGAAUCCCAGAAUUAGCCAAUCACAUGGGGCCCAUCGUGUAAAUAAUGUAUAUAAAGCAGACAUUCUGGGAGAACUUCCACUCCUCCUCACCACUAUGAGCUGAAUAAAGAGCAUGAAAUCCACUCUUGACUCCGAGUAUAUUUCAAAGUUAAAGUUACUGGCUUUCCUGAAUGUUUCCCCAGAGGGAGAGAGAUACCAGUAUGUUUCCGAGCACAAUUCAAAGUGUUGGUGCUGACCUUUAAAGCCCUAAACGGCCUUGGCCCAGUAUACCUGAAGGUGCGUCUCCACCCCCAUCUUUCAGCCCAGACACUAAGGUCCAGCUCUGAGGGUUUUCUGGCAGUUCCCUCACUGUGAGAAGUGAAGUUUCAGGCAACCAGGCAGAGGGCCUUCUUGGCAAUGGCACCCGCCCUAUGGAACACCCUCCCAUCAGAUGUCAAGGAAAUAAACAACUUCCAUGACUUUUAGAAGUCAUCUGAAGCCCUGUUUAGGGAAGUUUUUAAUGUUUGAUGUUUUAUCAUGUUUUAGUAUUCUAUUGGGAGCUGCCCAGAGCGGCUGCGGAAACCCAGUCAGAUGGGCAGGGAAUUAUUAUUAUUAUUAUUAUUAUUAUUAUUAUUAUUAUUACUACUACUACUACUACUAUAAUUAUUAUUCAGGUCAAAAUCUGUCUCUUAAAUCUGAAGCUCUAUAGAUAAUAACAGGGAAUUGAAAAGUGGCUCCCCUGAACAUUGAGAAAGUCAUGACUGAGUUAUUUGUAGAUCACUCUCCUUUCUGGGCUGAAAGGAAAAAAUGGCGAAAACAAGUUAUUUAUUGGGACAGUGUGAUUUUUGCAGCUGCUGUUAAAGUUGCAAAACAAUGAAGCAUGGGGUGGAGCAAUGGAGAACUUCUGAAACAACAAUGGGAUAUUAGCUCCGCCCAAGGCAUGAAGGAGAACAGCAACAAACAAGAAAAGAUAGAUAUAGUAUUUUACAAGGACAGUUAGAAACAUCACGGACAGAAUAAUGGCCACACACAAGAAGAACAAGGAUAUAGUUUGAAUGCUUCACCUGUAGCUUUAUAAAUCAUUUAAUGUGUCAAUACGAACAGAAUUCGUUAAUAUUGCAGUUGCUGUAUAAGGGAUUGUUAUUUUUGACUGGAGUAGAAUUGAAAUUAAUAAGAUUUUGGAACACAGAAAUAAAGCAAGUCAUCGAGCAAUCAAUUCUAGCACAUGGGGGGGGUACCUAAAUUACAUAAUUUGGCAUCUGAAUGAUUGGUACAGUGGAACCUCGGUUUUCGAGCGUCUCAGAAGCUGAACGUUUCAGAAGCCAAACGCCGAAAACCCGGAAGUAAUUGCUUCUGUUUUCGAACACGUUCGGCUUCCGAGGCACCUUUCUCCAUUUUCUCAGUUGAGUUUGCCAACUGCCCAUUGCACCGGGGCUAUUCAUGUUCUGGGUCUUGAGCUGGUCUAGUGGACAGCCAGUUGGUGCGGCAGCCAUCUAGGAUCAGAAACUUCAGUGCAAAUUGAUCUACUAAUUGAUAUACUGUGUGACUCUUAGCCUGUGAAGUUGCUGUUUGCCAUAGAAAGCGCUUCAGCGGCAUUGUGGGAAAUUUAACUACUGACUCCCAGACCCAGCUGUUUAAUACUGAUGGUGCCUGUGGGGAGCACAUUUAACACAACCAAUUGCCCUUUUUGCCCGCAAAUGUGCUAUUUCCUGAAAACAUCGCCCCUGCAGUUAGGCAGGGGACAAUUUUAGCUGAUUGGGGCCUUACAACUCCCCCACUUUCUUCCAAAACAACUUGUGCUGUUUGGCCCAGGCUGACGACCAAAAGAUCAUCAUUUUAUGUAUAGCACUGAAUUACGACAAUGCAUUCCACCCAAUCCUUAAAUACAAAUGGGUACACAGAGAGCAAAAUGAGGGUAGAUACUGAAGACACAAAUACUAAGAAAUAAAGGAAAGCUAUUCUGCUGGUAUGAUGCCUGGGGGGGAAAAGCUCUGUUGGGUAAACAAAUACAAUUUAGUCUCUCCAAAGCAGUGCAUCUGAGGUUAAUGUAGUAUGCCCUCUUUUCCAGCGUUGCCUUUAUUAAUCUUUAUGAUGGAAUAUGUUAUUAAGCACAGCUAGAUUUAGCCCUAACGCAACACUGCAGAUUACUGCACACUACAGAUAAAUCAAGCAACUCUUAUGUAGGUGAAGCAUACAGACUUCCCACCUGUUUAUAUCCAGGGGAGCAACCUGGACAGUGGAAAGCCCUGCCCUUUUUCUUUGAAUGAGCAAGGCCUCGCAAUUCCCAGCUGCGUUUUGCAGCUUCUUAGUGUGGAAAGCGCACAUGUCCUUUGAAAACCCCCAGAAUCCACUCCUGGAAAUCAGGUGAUCCCUUGGAACCGAAGUGCUUUUCCAAAAGGCAGACCUUGCCAGUGGGCUCUUGUUAUAGAUGGUUUCAUGGGGGAAAUUUUAUUUUAUUAAAUUUAUAUCCCAGCCUUCCUCCCAGAGGAGUCCAGGGCGGCAAAUACAUAAACGGUGGAACAAUAAGAACAUCUUAAAAACAAUUCCAGUAGAGAUGCAGAUUGGGAAAGAUCUCUUGUUUAGUAUAGGAUCCUGUUUACAAGACAGUGCAAGCCUGUUUGUGAUACAUCAGGUGAGCCCUAGGGCUGGGUGAUAUCUGGUUUUCAACAUUAUGAUAUAUCACCAGCUAAGCAUCACAAUAUACCAAUAUAUCAUGUCUGAAAUAAGGAUGGGGCUAGGUAGAGGCAUUGGCUGGCUUCUCCAUUUCCCCCUCAUCGUGAUUUUUGCAUAGCACACAAGCACAUCAUGAUUUGCAAUGUAUUGCCAGGUCAAAAAUUAUGACACCUGUCAGGACUGGUCGUUGUCCUCUUCAGAUCACCACACAAACGCUUCUUGUUCUUUUAUAACUUUUUAUUGCGUAUUAACAAACAAUAUUAUAAACGGUUCUUAUCUUUAGCUAUUAUUCCUCAGAGUCACUUAUUUCAGAUACAGUGGUACCUCGGGAUGCCAACGGGAUCCGUUCCGGAAGCCCGUUCGCAUCCCAAAUGGAACACAAGAUACGAUGGCGUGUCUGCAUGUGUGCGGGUCACGUUUUGCUGCUUCCACACAUGCGCAUGACUUCAUUUUGAGCGUCUGCACAUGCGCGAGCGACGAAACCCGGAAGUAACGCACGCUGUUACUUCCGGGUUGCAGCGGAGCGCAACUCGAACACGCUCAACCUGAAGCGCAUUCAACUCAAGGUAUGACUGUACCUUCUGAGCUCUGCUUCUCCGUGACCAGCAACUCUCAAAAUGGCGACCGCGUCGUUCCUUUUGCUUUCCCGCUCUUUUUUCUAACCUGGCUAGAGCUGGCUUGUAUCUCCCCUCCUCCGAAUCUGAGCUAUAACUUAACCCUUGCUUUUCCUGUGAACAUCCAGUCCCUCCCUGUUGUUCCUGUUGCUCUCUUCUAUCAGCUUCACUGCUCUCCUCCCCCCCUUGGGGAAAACUUUCUCCCUCUGGAAAACUGGGAACUUCUAACUCUAACUCUUCCCUGACAACACUGACAUCACAGUAUGCCCAGCCCUAAUGAGUCCUGCUUCUUCAUGCGAAUGCUGGAUGGAUACUUUUUAAGAAUAAAGGAAGAGCCCUGUUGGGUCAGACAAAGGUCCACCACCAUAGUCUACCACCCUUUCUCCUAACAGUAUCCAAUCAGAUGUUUUGGCUGAGCUCUCGGGUAUGUCAUGAAGGCGCCACCCCGUGCCGUUUCUCUCUGACAAAUGAUAUGCAGUUUCACUCUGCCUCCUAACAUGGAGCUUCCACUUAGCAACUGCCUCUGAAUAACCAUUUGUCCUCUAUCUAGUCCCCAUCUGAAACCAUCUAAGCCAGUGGCAUUGUUGCCUCUUGUGGCAGCCAAUGCUACAAAUUAAUUUUGUGUGUGUGUCCUUUUGGGUCAAAUCAAGCGAGGUGCUGCCAAUCUGUUUCAUUGACCUGUUUCCAAAUUCUAGGAUUAUGGAAGAAGAAGGGAAAUAGUUCUCUCUAUCCACAGCCGUGCUUCAUUUUAUCACUGACCAGGUCCGACUCAUGUGGACUUCCUCAUCUGUGGAGACUCCUCUCUCCCUGUCUCCAUGCACAAACUUCAAAAAAUUAACUUAUUGGAGUCAUUAAGAGGUUUUCCCGAAGCCUAACUGUGGCACAUUUGCAGCUGUUUUCACUGGGCCCCCUCCUUCACCAUGUUUAGUCUUCAAAUAUCUCAUCUAUUGAUUCCAGCAGAAUGGGUUUCGAAGUCUAAAUUUGGAGCAUUUGUGCGACUGUAACAGCCCCACUGGAAAAGCCCCCCAGGCCAAAUUUAAGAUUAAAACAAAACAAAACUCCUCCCGAUGGCUGCAUUGAGUCUAUAAGAAAGCUUUUGUUCUUCCAUAUUUUUCAGGCAGUAGUGUUUUCAGGCAUCUACAAGCUCAAUUCAAUCUCUCAUUCUUUCAGCUUUUCAAGGCACAAUCUUGGAGCAAAGGCCAUGUCAGUGUGCUUGAAUUUCAGAGCAAAUCCCAGAGGUGCGGGGUGAAAUGGCAGAAGUCAAUUCUGGCUGCAGCACCACAGGGUUAAAAAGCCAUUAUCUGAAAUGUCACCUUGCCAAUUGUACCCACCUGGAAAAAUGUUAAUCCUCUCUCUAAGUGCUCUGCAGCAAUUUUCAUAAGUAUUCUUCAAAAUGGAAAAAUCAAUUAUCGUGCUAUAGCAGGUUGCAUGCAGAGGCCACGAUCCAUGCGCACAGUGUAUUCUAACUUACCUCUCUUUCAGUUACUCCCUGAAAUAUACUCGGAGCUGAGAGUGGCUUUCAUGCUCUUUAUUCAGCUCAUAGUGGUGAGGAGGAAUGAAAGUUCCCCCAUAGUAUCUGCUUUAUAUACAUUAUUUAGGCAAUGGGCUGCACGUGAUUGGCUAAUUCUGGAAUUCUCCUGUAGGCCAAUCAGGUUGUGGAUUCCCUUCCAUCUGGAGCUGGGUUGGGUGGCUCCUGCAGACCAAUCAUACUGCUGCAUUGUUCUAGGACCAAUCAGACUGCUGCAUUCUGAAUCCUAUUGUUCUAGGACCAAUCAGACUGCUGCAUUUUGGAUCCUAUUGUUCUAGGACCAAUCAGACUGCUGCAUUUUGGAUCCUAUUCAACUCUGUACAUAACACCCCCCCCCCAACAACUCUUUUGGUGACGUGAAGUUCUACAUCACCUCCCCGCAUCCCCAGCACAUAAAAUUAUUUUUAAAAAAUCUUAAAUCUUUGUGGCAAAAUAUGACAAUGACUGAAAGUGUCAUAUGGAAAAAAUGCACACACAUGCCUAUGUUGUUGAUAACUUGUGUGACUGGUUGAACCACAGCUGUUCUGUAGUCCAAACAUGCACUCUGCUAUUCUUCCAGAUUGUAAUUUUUAGCAUAUGGAUAUCUGCUACCUGUCUUCUGAAUAAAUCGACUAGAUCAGAUUGAAUCAAUAUCCCUGGGAAUGUGAAAAUUCUUUUGGAGAGGGCGGUCUUACUAUUAGAAUCAUAGAAUCAUAGAAUCAUAGAGUUGGAAUAGACCACAAGGGCCAUUGAGUCCAACCCCCUGCCAAGCAGGAACACCGUCAGAGCACUCCUGACAUAUGGUUGUCAAGCCUCUGCUUAAAGACCUCCAAAGAAGGAGACUCCACCACACUCCUUGGCAGCAAAUUCCACUGUCGAACAGCUCUUACUGUCAGGAAGUUCUUCCUAAUGUUUAGGUGGAAUCUUCUUUCUUGUAGUUUGGAUCCAUUGCUCCGUGUCCGCUUCUCUGGAGCAGCAGAAAACNNNNNNNNNNNNNNNNNNNNNNNNNNNNNNNNNNNNNNNNNNNNNNNNNNNNNNNNNNNNNNNNNNNNNNNNNNNNNNNNNNNNNNNNNNNNNNNNNNNNCAGCUAACUCUAAUUCUCUUCUACCUCAGUGAGUUGAGUAACCAGUGUAGCAUCCAAAGUGUGUUUUGAGCUGCCACAAUUCACCUGUAGAUUACAGAGGAUGAGGCAAGAACAGGCAUCAUGCCAUCUCUGCAAAACAUCGCCCUUAUAUUUAUUACCCUCUUUCCUUGAAUCAAUUGUCUCAUUAGCCCUGAUUGCACACGGUAAUGACUCCAAAGCAAGGUCAACGAGGAAAGGAAACACGUCCCCUUGAUGUGGAAAGCCUCUGACACAAAUCCAGUGACUUUUGGAUUUGGGGAGACACAAUAUUAAUGUGAAUCCGCUUGAUGAACCUUUCAGGCAAGUUUAAUUGUGCAAGGGCAUAAAAUAUAAACAGCCUUUUCCCCAGUGAUGUUCAUGACCUGUCAAUGAGGAAAUGGAUGUGAUCUGUCAAUACCUUAUAAAACCGACUUGGCCCAGGGUAGACAAUAUCAUCUGUAUGAGAGGAAAAAUUCUUCCUCCACAUAACCUCAGGCACUAUGCAAACAUUAUGCACAUCACAGAUGACCCCUACUUUAUUUUUCAUCUUCUGCAUAUUAUCUAUUUUUCAUCUUUGGCAUACAGCGGUACCUCGGGUUACCCGAGGUACUAUUUCUGGGUUAGCAGAGUCUGUAACCUGAAACGUAUGUAACCUGAGGCGUAUGUAAACCAAAGGUACCACUGUAGUGCCAUUCAAGAAAUGUUAAGCCAGAGUAAAAUGCUACAUUGAAGGUUGUCAGCGUCACUUUUGAAAGAGACUAAAUUAUACAAGUGUCUCUUUUUCUUUCACUUGGUUGCCUGGAAAUCGGGUUUCCUGUUCAACUUUUUAAUAGUAUGACUGGUUAGUUCUAACACAGUGUGUGAUGUAGUGAAGGCGCUCGUGUUCAUUUAGACAUUUUCUUUUUCUCACAAUGUCCCGAUAUGAACUGGUUUCAUUUCAGUACCCAGCUCACAAAACGCCUAUCAAAUCGGACCACUCUUGCAUUUUGCAAAAUGGCGUCAUUGACUUGGAUUCUCCAGGCUGUACUACGAGAACUCCUUAUACAAUGGAUUUUACUAUUUGCAGUUCUGCUGCUGCUAACCGCCAGUUUAACACUGCGAUUUGCUUGACCUUUAUUCUCUUACUCUCCCAUCCUUUUACACACACUCCCAGCUCAGAAAGAAACAUUUUAAUGAACAAUUAUUCACAUUCCUGCAGCUUUCUCAGGCUGGGAGGUAGGCUCCGGAGUUCAUUACACCAACUUUGGUGGCCAGUUGUAGAAUCAAAGAAUCUUAGAGUUGGAAGGGACCCAAAGGCCAUCUUGCCCAACCCCCUGCCAUGCAGGAAUCUCAGCUAAGGCAUCCAUGACAGAUGGCCAUCCAACCUCUGCUUAACAGAGAGCCAGUGUGGUGUAGUGGUUAAGAGCAGUAGACUCGUAAUCUGGUGAACCAGGUUCGUGUCUCCGCUCCUCUGGGGUGUUGCUGCUGGGUGACCUUGGGCUAGUCCCACUUCUCUGAAGUCUCUCAGCCUCACUCACCCCACAGAGUGUUUGUUGUGGGGGAGGAAGGGAAAGGAGAAUGUUAGCCGCUUUGAGACUCCUUCGGGAAGUGAUAAAGCGGGAUAUCAAAUCCAAACUCUUCUUCUUAACAACCUCCAAGGAGAGGAGGGGCUUGCUUGAUUUCCAGUGUGUGUGUGUGCGCCCUGCUCACUCUGCCACACAUUUGAGUGCGCAAACACACCACAGAAAGCUACAUUUUUGCAGAGAAGGAUGGUGAGCUAUCUUACCUGACUGUAAUUGUGCAUGCGUACGAGAGGGAGAAUGUACGAAUAGGUCUAUGUGCAUCGCCUGUGAAGGAGGGAGCAAUGUGCAAUCUCUGUGAUAGAGAGAGAUAGAAAGAGGGGGAUGUGUGGUUUCUGGGUGUUGAUGUGCGUGACAGAGAAAGGAGAGGGGUGUAUUGCAUGUAUGUGUGUGAGAGAGAAAUGCCCAUAGGCAAAGGGAGAGAAGUUAUGUAUGGCUCUCUAUAUGGGGAUGGUCUGUGCAAGGUUGCCAUAUGUCCUCUUUUUCCAGAACACAUACCCUCUUUUUUAUGGGAAUGUAAAAUGAGAGUCACCACAGUUAGAAGUCGGCAAAUGUGUCCCCUUUUUUACUCUUCAAAAUAUGGCAACCUGUAUGUAUAUGGUGAGUGUGGGAGAGAAAAACCGGAGAGCCACUUUGUAUAUUUUUUUCUGGAACAUGGGAAUGACCCUUGCUAUUACACAACAACAGUAUCAUUGUAUGGGGGCGGGGAAUCAAUAUUGUGUUCUCCAUCAUUAGGACAAGCUGACUUCCCAUUGUUAGCAUGAAGUUGCCAGUGUAUGCUUUCUAAUUUUGUGUUGACAUCAUGACUCCCCAUUGUAGCCAUUUUGUGCUAGUGUCCAUGGCGCUUCUAUCAAGUUAAGAGUACUGGUACCUCCUUUCUGCCUAUCUGAGGACUGAGCCCAAGUAUUAUGAAAUGACCUACAGACUUCAGUUCCCCAGGCUAUACUUUGGAUAAAUGUUUCCCCCUGUGCUCUCGGUUGCCCGUUCCGAAUUGUACAUCCAAGGAAGAGUCCUUUAUGUUUACAACAUCUCCCUUGGGACUGAUUUCUUUCUGUCUGCCCUCUGUUCUUCCAGCUCCUCUGCUAUUUUAGGAAACGCUCGCAGACUCUUAUUGAAUCUUCCUGAGAAUGCAUCCCUCAGUGUGCUUUGUCCGAUGAGAUAGCGUUCACCAGAUGGCUUGGGGGUUCCAUCAAAAUAGGGGGGGAGGAAAUGCACUUGAAGCCAACACAAUAAGAGGAAACUCCCAUCAUAGAGUCCUCAGAGAAUGAACAGAGUGGGCUGCUGCCUUUCCAACUUUUACUUCUCCCUAGCAAAGGAAGAAACGCUGCACAUUUUUCACCUCAGAAAAUUUUUAAAGAAAAUGGGGACACUUUGAAAGGUGUCCGUAACAUAUAGCCCUAUGAGAGGCUACUCUGUGCAGAAAACAGAGGUGGUGGUUGCAUUUGGGGCGAACACACUGGGACAGUUUCGCCUUAAGUUUUUUUUGCUCGAAAGCAAAUAAAGUGAAGUUUCCCUGAUCGUACUGUCUGCCCUGCUCUGUGACUCUUUUCAGAGCACUGGGUUUGCUGCAUUGCAGCAUUCUGUUUACUGUCUCAGUUCUGAGGAAAUAAGCUAAAGGACGGCCUCGAAAGGAAAGGAGAAAAGUCAGUCAUUGCAGCAUACAUAUUAAUGGGUUGGGGAUAAAGAAUUAGACAGACGUAACACGACGGGAAAGCUUGCUUACCUAACACCUAUAAAUCUUUGUUGAAGGAGGGUCUUCUCCCAGAAACAGCAGCUAAUCAAACAUAUUGGAAAGGAAGAUGUCGUCAUCCUACUGAUUUCAUUUGGUUGCAUUCCAAGGGUGAUGUUAUGGACAGCAGUGAGAUUAUGCUAUGGAACAACCUCCACAUGGAGAGCCACACAGGAUUGGGGGCUAAACCAACUCUGUCGACCCCAUGGCUGAAGUCAGCAGUGUCCCUUUGCCCAACAGAAACCCAAAAACAGCCUUCUUCCCUCCACAAUCCCUUUCCUUUCUGUGGUUUGGUUGGAGUGCUUUUGUUUCCUUCCAUCUCUGGUUACCUUGGUUUUUUAUGUCUAAACAGACACAGCAGGAUGGCAUGGGCAUAUAUUAAGACAUGAGUGACAGACACACUUAGGGGCUGUUCCCUGGGGGGAUGGAGUGUCCUGUGCACAGCCAGCCCCUAUUAUUAUUAUUAUUAUUAUUAUUAUUAUUAUUAUUCCCAAAGUUCUAGACAGGAAGAAGCUUCUGUGCCUCUUUUGCAUUUACUUCCAGGGUAAGGAAGUAUAGAGCAAAGGUUUUGAGCAUGGGGUGGGGGGGUGGAAAAAUGCUGUUUAUUGUGUGAUGCCUUAUCUUUGUGAAGACAGCUGAAAAUAACCUCAAGGUUAAUGGAUUUAUGGUAUUGCACAGAAACAGAUGUGUAUUAUAUCCACAGUAUCAGAGAUGCACAAUUUACUUCCUUAUACAGUGGUACCUCAGGUUACAUACGCUUCAGGUUACAUACGCUUCAGGUUACAGACUCUGCUAACUCAGAAAUAUUACCUCAGGUUAAGAACUUUGCUUCAGGAUGAGAACAGAAAUCGUGCUCUGGCGGCGCAGCAACAGGAGGAGGCCCCAUUAGCUAAAGUGGUGCUUCAGGUUAAGAACAAUUUCAGGUUAAGAAUGGACCUCCGGAAUGAAUUAAGUACUUAACCCGAGGUACCACUGUAUACCCUUUGCUACAGGGGGGAUUAUUAUUAUUGUCAUUUUUUAAAAUGAACUUGUUUCUAGUUUCCAGUGGAAUCAAAAGAAGCCCCUUAGAAAUAUAGUGGCAACGAGUGGAUGGGAGACCUGUUCUUUGGGAGUGUGUCAUAUUUGAAGGGGUCGGGUCUCCUGCAUCUCCCAAACAGUGAGAUUCAAACUUUCCAGAAAUGGGUAGAAUUGCUAUCAGUCCUGGAUAUGUAAAAAGGUACAAGAAUGUUGGGAAAUGAUUUAUAAUGAGUUAAAAAAAAAGUUUUAAACUACUUUCCCCAAAAGACCAGCGUCCUUUCUACUGGGAAUAAUCCAGACAAAUCCCUAGGUGUCAGGAAAGCUGAUUGCUGUACGCAACAACAGCGGCCCGUGUUUUUCUAUCCCCCAAAUGGAAAGUGAGCGAGGUCCCUCAUAAAGAGGACUGUCAACUUAAGAUGUUAGAAUAUGCAGAACUUGCAGGUUUAACAGACAGAAUAAGAAACCAAGAAGAACGUCUGUUUAAAGAGGAUUGGAAAAUAUUCAUUGAAUAUAUGGAUAACCACUGAACUCAGCUGGAAACGUUGGCAGCAUGAAGAUAAAUUCAACAGUGUAAGUAAUAAUUGAUUGUUGUAAAAGUGGAAAUCUGAUCUGAAUGGUGAAGGUAAAAUAUGCAGGAGUAGAGGACGUACAAAAUGAACCAUGGAAGGAGAAGAAGGGAAGUCAUUGGAUAUUUUAAAGUUCGUAAAAUGAUUAUUUUGAAAUGUCAAAAAUGAAAAUCUAAUAAUUUAUUUACUUUUUUAAGAACUGCUGUCAGACUACCCAGGCUUCAGCCAUGUAUGCUGCAGUGCAGAAGAAAAAGCUACUGGUAAUAUGCUGUAACGCCCAGGCUGCCCUAAGUUGGGUAAAGAACUGCAGAACGUUUCUCUUGUGGACUUUGGUUGAGAAUCUGAAGGCAGGAAUGAGUUUGGAAGUGAACCAUAAAAAGAUUGAUAAGGUUUCAGAGUUUCAUAUAUUGGGCGGGGGGGACAAAUAUGGGAAAACAAAACAAAUAAGCUUUGUGCCACAAAGAAAGCUCACAGUUCUUAGGAAAGAUUGCUACUUCGGUGUGACUAAUCAGUUGGCACAGUUCUU
rnacentral:lncRNA from 1 species